rnacentral:rRNA from 1 species
AGAGUUUGAUCCUGGCUCAGAUUGAACGCUGGCGGCAUGCCUUACACAUGCAAGUCGAACGGCAGCACGGACUUCGGUCUGGUGGCGAGUGGCGAACGGGUGAGUAAUGUAUCGGAACGUACCUUUCAGUGGGGGAUAACGUAGCGAAAGUUACGCUAAUACCGCAUAUUCUGUGAGCAGGAAAGCAGGGGAUCGAAAGACCUUGCGCUGAUUGAGCGGCCGAUAUCAGAUUAGCUAGUUGGUGGGGUAAAGGCCUACCAAGGCGACGAUCUGUAGCGGGUCUGAGAGGAUGAUCCGCCACACUGGAACUGAGACACGGUCCAGACUCCUACGGGAGGCAGCAGUGGGGAAUUUUGGACAAUGGGGGCAACCCUGAUCCAGCCAUGCCGCGUGAGUGAAGAAGGCCUUCGGGUUGUAAAGCUCUUUCGGCCGGGAAGAAAUCGCAUAGGCUAAUACCCUGUGUGGAUGACGGUACCGGAAUAAGAAGCACCGGCUAACUACGUGCCAGCAGCCGCGGUAAUACGUAGGGUGCGAGCGUUAAUCGGAAUUACUGGGCGUAAAGCGUGCGCAGGCGGUUUCGUAAGACAGAGGUGAAAUCCCCGGGCUCAACCUGGGAACUGCCUUUGUGACUGCGAGGCUAGAGUACGGCAGAGGGGGGUGGAAUUCCACGUGUAGCAGUGAAAUGCGUAGAGAUGUGGAGGAACACCGAUGGCGAAGGCAGCCCCCUGGGCCGAUACUGACGCUCAUGCACGAAAGCGUGGGUAGCAAACAGGAUUAGAUACCCUGGUAGUCCAA